UUAAGUUCAGCGGGUAUUCCUACCUGAUCCGAGGUCAACCUUGAAAAGGAUUUUCCCGAUGAAGGGAGAAGACCGGGUCCUGGGCUCCCUUGAUCCGAUACGUGCUCAGUUAAGAAGCUCAAUGUACCGGGGGUCCAACGAGGCCGCCGUCAUUGUCUUUGGGAGGGGCAGGAGCCCCGCCGCCCAAUACCAAGCGGGCU
rnacentral:misc_RNA from 1 species